rnacentral:rRNA from 1 species
GGUCGGUUUGGCCGGAUUUCACACAGGUGUUGCAUGGCUGUCGUCAGCUCGUGUCGUGAGAUGUUGGGUUAAGUCCCGCAACGAGCGCAGCCCUCAUCCCUAGUUACCAUCGGGUUAUGCUAGGGACUUUAAGGAAACUGCCAGUGAUAAACUGGAGGAAGGUGGGGAUGAUGUCAAGUCAUCAUGGCCCUUAUGGAGUGGGCUACACACGUGCUACAAUGGUGAUUACAAUGGGCUGCAAGGUCGCAAGGCUGAGCUAAUCCUAAAAAAUCAUCUCAGUUCGGAUUGUUCUCUGCAACUCGAGAGCAUGAAGUUGGAAUCGCUAGUAAUCGUGGAUCAGCAUGCCACGGUGAAUACGUUCUCGGGUCUUGUACACACUGCCCGUCACGCCAUGGUAAUUGGUUUCACUCGAGGCU